rnacentral:rRNA from 1 species
CGCCUCUUGAGUAAAUAUAAGAGGUCCAGCCUGCCCAGUGACUCUGUUCAACGGCCGCGGUAUCCUAACCGUGCGAAGGUAGCGUAAUCACUUGUUCUUUAAAUGAGGACUAGUAUGAAUGGCACCACGAAGGUUAUACUGUCUCCUUUUUCUAAUCAGUGAAACUAAUCUCCCCGUGAAGAAGCGGAGAUAAAUAUAUAAGACGAGAAGACCCUAUGGAGCUUUAAACUUCAUAACACUUGCACUUAUCAAUGCAAAUUUCAGAAAAAUACAUAUUAUUCAUGCAAGAUGAUUAUCAGUUUUAGGUUGGGGUGACCGCGGAGAAAAAAAUAACCUCCACAUUGAAAGGAAUUUCACUCCUUAGCUAAGAGCUACAUCUCUAUGCACCACCAAAGUGACAUUAAUUGACCCAACAAUUUGAUCAACGAACCAAGUUACCCUAGGGAUAACAGCGCAAUCCACUUCAAGAGCUCCUAUCGACAAGUGGGUUUACGACCUCGAUGUUGGAUCAGGGUAUCCAGGUGGUGCAGCCGCUACCAAAGGUUCGUUUGUUCAACGAUUAAAACCCU